CGGCUCUGGUGGUGUAGGGGUUAAGCACAAGACCAUGUGCAGAGGUUAUAGUCCUCAAUGCGGCUGUCCUGGGUUCGAGUCCCAGACUUGCCGA